rnacentral:rRNA from 1 species
GAUGAACGCUGGCGGCGUGCCUAACACAUGCAAGUCGAACGGAGUCGUUUUGGAAAUCUCUUCGGAGAUGGAAUUCUCGACUUAGUGGCGGACGGGUGAGUAACGCGUGAGCAAUCUGCCUUUAAGAGGGGGAUAACAGUCGGAAACGGCUGCUAAUACCGCAUAAAGCAUUAAAUUCGCAUGUUUUUGAUGCCAAAGGAGCAAUCCGCUUUUAGAUGAGCUCGCGUCUGAUUAGCUAGUUGGCGGGGUAACGGCCCACCAAGGCGACGAUCAGUAGCCGGACUGAGAUGUUGAACGGCCACAUUGGGACUGAGACACCGCCCAGACUCCUACGGGAGGCAGCAGUGGGGAAUAUUGCGCAAUUGGGGAAACCCCGACGCAGCAACGCCGCGUGAUUGAAGAAGGCCUUCGGGUUGUAAAGAUCUUUAAUCAGGGACGAAACAAAUGACGGUACCUGAAGAAUAAGCUCCGGCUAACUACGUG